GGGAGGUUUGGCACCUCGAUGUCGGCUCAUCGCAUCCUGGGGCUGUAGUCGGUCCCAAGGGUUGGGCUGUUCGCCCAUUAAAGCGGUACGCGAGCUGGGUUCAGAACGUCGUGAGACAGUUCGGUCCCUAUCCGUCGUGGGCGUAGGAAAUUUGAGAGGAGCUGUCCUUAGUACGAGAGGACCGGGAUGGACAUACCUCUGGUGUACCAGUUGUCGUGCCAACGGCAUAGCUGGGUAGCUAUGUAUGGACGGGAUAAGUGCUGAAAGCAUCUAAGCAUGAAGCCCCCCUCAAGAUGAGAUUUCCCAACUUCGGUUAUAAGAUCCCUCGAAGAUGACGAGGUUAAUAGGUUCGAGGUGGAAGCGUGGUGACACGUGGAGCUGACGAAUACUAAUCGAUCGAAGACUUAAUCAAUUUUUAAA
rnacentral:rRNA from 1 species